rnacentral:rRNA from 1 species
ACAAAGGGCAGCUACACAGCGAUGUGAUGCUAAUCUCCAAACCAUGUCUCAGUUCGGAUCGGAGUCUGCAACUCGACUCCGUGAAGCUGGAUUCGCUAGUAAUCGCGCAUCAGCCAUGGCGCGGUGAAUACGUUCCCGGGCCUUGUACACACCGCCCGUCAAGCCAUGGGAGCCGGGGGUACCUGAAGUCCGUAACCGCGAGGAUCGGCCUAGGGUAAAACUGGUGACUGGGGCUAAGUCGUAACAAGGUAUC